rnacentral:tRNA from 1 species
GUCGUCGUGGGCCUAGUGGUUAAGGCGACAGACUUGAAAUCUGUUGGGCUCUGCCCGCACAGAUUCGAAUCCUGUCGGCGACG